rnacentral:rRNA from 1 species
GACGUAGGGUCCGAGCGUUGUCCGGAGUUACUGGGCGUAAAGGGCGCGUAGGCGGCUUUGUGCGUCACACGUGAAAGCCCCUGGCUUAACCAGGGAGGGUCGUGUGAAGCGGCGAAGCUGGAGGCAGAGAGAGGCUGGUGGAAUUCCCGGAGUAGUGGUGAAAUGCGUAGAUAUCGGGAGGAACACCGGUGGUGUAAACGGCUUUCUGGACCAUAACUGACGCUGAGGCACGAAAGCGUGGGUAGCAAACAGG